AAAAACAUGUCUUUUUGUUUAAAAUAUAAAGUCUAACCUGCCCACUGAUAAUUUAUUAAAGGGCCGCAGUAUUUUGACUGUGCAAAGGUAGCAUAAUCAUUUGUCUUUUAAUUGAAGGCUAGAAUGAAUGGUUGAAUGAAGUAUUAACUGUCUCAUUUUAAUAAAUUAAGAAUUUAGCUUUUAAAUUAAAAGGUUUAAAUAAAUUUAAAAGACGAGAAGACCCUAUAGAUUUUUAUAUUAAUUAUUAUAAUAUUAUUAUGUAAAUAAUUUAUUGUUAUAAUAAUUAAUAUUUGAUUGGGGUGAUUGAAAAAUUUAAUAAACUUUUUUUAUUUAAAAACAUUGAUUUAUGAUUAAUUGAUCCAAUUUUAUUGAUUAAAAAUUUAAAUUACCUUAGGGAUAACAGCGUAAUUUUUUUAGAGAGUUCUUAUCGAUAAAAAAGAUUGCGACCUCGAUGUUGAAUUAAAGGUUAUAUUUAAAUGUAGUAGUUUAAAUGUUAGGUCUGUUCGACCUUUAAAUCUUUACAUGAUCUG
rnacentral:rRNA from 1 species